GAACGCUGGCGGCAGGCCUAACACAUGCAAGUCGAGCGGUAGCACAGAGAGCUUGCUCUCGGGUGACGAGCGGCGGACGGGUGAGUAAUGUCUGGGAAACUGCCUGAUGGAGGGGGAUAACUACUGGAAACGGUAGCUAAUACCGCAUAAUGUCGCAAGACCAAAGUGGGGGACCUUCGGGCCUCAUGCCAUCAGAUGUGCCCAGAUGGGAUUAGCUAGUAGGUGGGGUAACGGCUCACCUAGGCGACGAUCCCUAGCUGGUCUGAGAGGAUGACCAGCCACACUGGAACUGAGACACGGUCCAGACUCCUACGGGAGGCAGCAGUGGGGAAUAUUGCACAAUGGGCGCAAGCCUGAUGCAGCCAUGCCGCGUGUGUGAAGAAGGCCUUCGGGUUGUAAAGCACUUUCAGCGGGGAGGAAGGCGGUAAGGUUAAUAACCUCAUCGAUUGACGUUACCCGCAGAAGAAGCACCGGCUAACUCCGUGCCAGCAGCCGCGGUAAUACGGAGGGUGCAAGCGUUAAUCGGAAUUACUGGGCGUAAAGCGCACGCAGGCGGUCUGUCAAGUCGGAUGUGAAAUCCCCGGGCUCAACCUGGGAACUGCAUUCGAAACUGGCAGGCUAGAGUCUUGUAGAGGGGGGUAGAAUUCCAGGUGUAGCGGUGAAAUGCGUAGAGAUCUGGAGGAAUACCGGUGGCGAAGGCGGCCCCCUGGACAAAGACUGACGCUCAGGUGCGAAAGCGUGGGGAGCAAACAGGAUUAGAUACCCUGGUAGUCCACGCCGUAAACGAUGUCGAUUUGGAGGUUGUGCCCUUGAGGCGUGGCUUCCGGAGCUAACGCGUUAAAUCGACCGCCUGGGGAGUACGGCCGCAAGGUUAAAACUCAAAUGAAUUGACGGGGGCCCGCACAAGCGGUGGAGCAUGUGGUUUAAUUCGAUGCAACGCGAAGAACCUUACCUGGUCUUGACAUCCACAGAACUUUCCAGAGAUGGAUUGGUGCCUUCGGGAACUGUGAGACAGGUGCUGCAUGGCUGUCGUCAGCUCGUGUUGUGAAAUGUUGGGUUAAGUCCCGCAACGAGCGCAACCCUUAUCCUUUGUUGCCAGCGGUCCGGCCGGGAACUCAAAGGAGACUGCCAGUGAUAAACUGGAGGAAGGUGGGGAUGACGUCAAGUCAUCAUGGCCCUUACGACCAGGGCUACACACGUGCUACAAUGGCAUAUACAAAGAGAAGCGACCUCGCGAGAGCAAGCGGACCUCAUAAAGUAUGUCGUAGUCCGGAUUGGAGUCUGCAACUCGACUCCAUGAAGUCGGAAUCGCUAGUAAUCGUAGAUCAGAAUGCUACGGUGAAUACGUUCCCGGGCCUUGUACACACCGCCCGUCACACCAUGGGAGUGGGUUGCAAAAGAAGUAGGUAGCUUAACCUUCGGGAGGGCGCUUACCACUUUGUGAUUCAUGACUGGGGUGAAGUCGUAACAAGGUAACCGUAGGGGAACCUGCGGCUGGAUCACCU
rnacentral:rRNA from 1 species